rnacentral:rRNA from 5 species
CGCUGAACUUAAGCAUAUCAAUAAGCGGAGGA